rnacentral:tRNA from 1 species
GCGUCGGUGGUUCAGUGCUAGAAUACUCGCCUGCCACGCGGGUGGCCCGGGUUCGAUUCCCGGCCGACGCA